UCUCCUUCAUAUUCUUCUUUGUUUAUUUUUUUCUUCUUUUCACUGCAAAUCAUUCUUCAGACAACUUGGAUUUCAAGCUUUUUGUGUGCUAUCGUUUUUGACAAGAAUAAAUCCAUUACGUUAUCUCCCGUAUUACGUGCACACAAGCAACUAGAUUGUACCCUAGAGAGUCGUGCAGUGUGAGAACAGCAGUGAUCCGACAACUUUGAAAAUCGAGCAGUGUGAACCCUGCAUAAGUGAACCAUACUAACCUUGACUACUUGAUUUACAGACCAUGUUUAGAAUUUCUGAAGGAAUCUGAAUCGUUUCAAAGUUGUGUUGUGGAAAAGCAAGGGGACCGACUUUGGCUUCAGUUGGCUCACAUCUGGCAGGGGCUCCCCGUCUCCAUCAAUUCAGCAGAGAAUAAGACGCAUGCUUCAAACGAAAGCCCAACAGCAAUGGAAUACUCUUUUAGGUUCACAUAAGUGUCAUGUCUGACAGUGGAGAGAAACAUCUUGUGAAGACAUACUACAAGAAGGAUACAUACUUGUGGUGUGAUGUAUGUAUGCAGAGGUUACUCACGGACAUCUGCAGGGCAGCUUUAUGGUCGUGGAGCAUGUCUGUGUGUAUAUUUUAGCCUGUGGGACUGUUAUAGCUGUGAUGUGACGCUAGUGUUGUGGAUUUCUCAUCUGUAUUGAAUGACUCACCCAUAACACAGACAGUAAAGUACCACUCUAAACUUUAUAGACUUGAGCAGAUACACUGUUAUUGGACAGCAUUUGUACCUUAAAGAAAAGGAUCAGUGACAGACAGGAUGUGAUUGAAGAUGUCUUAGAUAUAUACAUGUAGGUUCCUCAGUGUCUUUUAUGUAGACCUUGAUAAGGAAAAUGCUUUCUUACUAAAGUGCCAUGCAAUAAUGUGCAAAGUGUUCUGUUCUGAUACAAAUCAAGUAGCCUACUGAUUAAUGAAUGGGUUACUCAAAAUCUAAAUUCUGUCAUUUACUUAUGUUUUUUGAAACUCUUCUGACUUAUUUUCUUCUGUGAAACACAAAAUGAGUUGUUAACACAGAACAUUUUCAGUUGAAUUUGUUGGGGGGUGCUGAACUAUCCCUUUAAGUUCUUAACCCACAACUGGGUUGUGUAGCAGACAAGCAAGAUCAUAUUAUGGACCUCCUGUAGUGACUAUGAAUGAAUGUAUGAAUAUGUUUAUCUUUAUUUGUUUGCCGAAACACUUUGUUUGACAUUUUGCUAUCUAAUGUAAGUGCAACUGUAACAUGCAUGUGGACAGAAAUAUUGAUUGCUGAAUAUUCAACACAAAGUUAUUUAUAGUUCUUUAUCACAGUUCUGAAUAUUUAAAAGCAGAAAGUUUUAAAAUAUAAUGAGCGUUAAAGACAAUGUACCGGGAAAAAUUGGCACAUAUUGUUUGCAUAUUAUUUCCUUGGCCUUGCCAGACUUUUGCAAAGCUGAAAAAAAAAACGGUUCUCUCUGUAACAAAUCUAUAAAAUUGGUUUUAUUGGUUUCUUUUGCCAUAUCUUUUGAAGGCCCUGUGGUUUUUAAAAGUGAGAUACUGGCACAAUGUCGACCAAAUUCAACUUUGAGUAAUUGCAACAUGACUUUGAACAACUCUUAAAAACUAACCAUUGCAAUUGCAUAAGAAUAUGAAAAUCCAAAUUCUGAAGCAUUCCGGCUGGAUUGUUUUCCAGAAUGGCCAAUUUAUCGGACAGUGUGUUAGCAUCUGGUUUCAUUUGACCUACACUGUUUGACCUUAAAUAUAUGACCCAUUGCAUGUAUACUGUAAAUUUCUGUAUUACAGCUGUUUGUCUGUCUAUCGUUCUGUCUAUCUAUCAUUGUUUUCAUGAUUUGAAUUUGAUAUUUAACUGUUCUCCAGCUCAGUCUCACCAAGCAAUUAGGAAUAUUGAACAUUACAUAACAUUGGUAUUCCAAGAUUAAUAAAUAAUUCCAGAAUUCGAAAACAUCUUAAAACUUGGGGAGAGAGGCAAAAAGUGUUACGAGUUUUGUUUGCUGUUGCGAGAUAAAAAGCAAUUAGAUCCUCAUAUCCCUUGAAAUCCCAGCUGCUGAAACCUUAUCAAAGACUGUCAAACCAAACAGUUUCAUAACCCACACUGUGAACCCUACCAGAGCUUGAUGUAGGUGAUGGGUCAGCUUCUCUGUUUAAAAAAAAAAAAAAAAAUUAAGUGGGUUGAAUAAGUCAACACUAAGAGUCUCAAUCCAGCCAGUUUAGAAAAUAACAUCAACCCACUGUUUGUCAGUGUAUCCCAACAAUGGUUACGAAAACAGCAGCUUGAAAAUGGCAGUCACAAUAUAACUCAGUUUACCCUUAAAAAGAAGAGCACUUGCAAAACUCAAAGUCAAAACAUUCUAAAAGAGCAGAGAAGGGCAGUGUCCUUGCUUGGGCUCCAAACAGUAAUCAUAGUCAGACCAGAGAUAAAUGGCCUUGUUUUGCUUAUAUCCAUCUCCUCCCAUCGGGACUUCCUCUUUUGCACCCCCCUUUUCUCAUAUUAGUGCCAAUUCCAGCAGGACGGCUUCUCAUCUGAGCCUCAUUUAUUUAUUUCCCUUGCAUCUCUAGUCUUAUCUCUGGCUUGUUCUCCAGUGCAAUGCUUCUAGAGUUGCAACAUCUCAUCAAGAAGCAUAUUCAUUGCAGUUUUUCAGUAAAAUCACAGGCCUGGAUGUAGUCGAUGUUUUGAAUCUCUGUUGUGCAGACAAUAUUAAUGUACCAUAGACUUGCUCCUCAGCAACGAAAUUGCAAAAUGACUGUUGUGAUCCUGAUUUAGCACUUGUUAUCCGCACAGUCAAGUCUUUUUAAGGUCAGUAAAGCUGUAAAAUAUUAGCCGAAACUGAUAUGUGCAAGUCCGUUUGGCAUUUUGUUCAGUUUGACCAUGUAGCACUGACCGUAUCUGAGAAAGGUUUAGACAGAGUGUGGGAAUAAUGUGAAACAUGGCAGUGCGGUUUGGCUUGCUCCCAAUGUUUUCUUGUGUUCUGGGUCUGCAGGUGGCUCUACAGGAGAUGGAGAGGUGGAAAUGAGCCAGAAACAAUAAUGAAUAAUCAAGAGGGCUGACCAAUGUGUGUGUGUGUGUGUAUCAUUGGAUAGAUGCAACUUUUACAUUAAUUGAUAUGCCAGACAAACGUCUAUCUCAGAUGUCUGUUUGGCAGAACUAAUCUAACAUCUCUGAAUAUCUGAACAUGAUUUAUACAGCUUUAUUGCAGCUGUUAAUCUCAUAACAUUACAUCCUCCAUAGCCUCCUCUGCACUUCCACGCAAGGAUUGGCUUUUCCUUUUUGACAGGGCUUGUGCACCUACAGCUACGACUUCAGCCAGCUAACCAGAUGGUGCACCAUCUGCCUUUUCUGCUCUCCUUGAAUGACUGUUUCUGCGAUUCUGGGGUUAGAGGAAGAGACCCCACUCUCUGAACUUCUUCCCACAGCUCCUCCUCCCACAGAUGUCUGAACUUAGGGUCAGGGUUGGAGAUUGUGAGUGGACAGAAAGACUUGUGCAAACAUCUGCACAAAUGUUUUCACCUGACAAAGCAUGCUGACUGUCUCCAAAUGUCGGCGCAGAGUUGUUGUUCUACACCACAGUCCUCAAGAACCAGCCUGCUCAACACUGAGACGCAGUGACAUUAAUGACUUUUCAAGCUCAAUUGCGCUUUAAAAACAGCAUCUUGAGGUUGUGUCCUUAUUUGGGGUGAAAACAGGCAGUUUUAAUAUAGCUGUGUUGGAAACUGUUGGAUCCUGUUCUAUCCUUUGGUUACACUUUAGACAUCAUAUUCCCAAACACAGUGGCUUCCCCCACCCAUGUGUGGUACCAGAAACCCUAAAUCAAAGGCCAAUCGGGAUUCUGCCCUUAUGCAAUACUUGAUGGAAGAUAAGACAUUGCAGACAAUUGUCUUGUUUUUGCACUACUUUUCCCUUCUGGCUGUUUUUCUGCUAGGUUUUAGAGUCAUAUAUUAGCUGACAUUGUCUCGACGUGUCUCCUGUCAGCUUUCCGAUCCUACAGAAUGUCCCUCCGGCUCAGUGUCUCUCCUAAGUUGUAAUUUUGGUUUAAGGAUAAUCACAGAGUAUUCAAAGCUUUCGUGAAAAUCUUUCCAUUCGUUUCCUCACCAGAACUGCUCAAAACCUUAAAAGCAGAAUUGUGUGUUUCUACAAAUUACUUGUGGUAAGCGGAAUAACGUUCAGAUGGGUGGCAUUCGUGAACGUUUGCACAGUUGGACUUGUGAGCAAACUAAAUGAUAAACCAGAGCUGCCACCACAUCUGAGAUGAUUCCUGGAGCAAUACGUUUGUCUCUGUGGAUUCUCUAUAGAUUUUACAGACAUCCAUGUGAUGCAUUAUGCUCAUAUUCUUAAGCUAGAAGGAAGAAUCCAACAGGAAGCAACAGCUUUGGAUGACUGUGGCUGGGAUGGGAAUAGAAGCACUGUGGUUUGAGGCAUUUCUUUCUGUUUAUCUGCAUCAAUUUUAGGUUGCUGCUUUUUUCUUUCUCUCCAAAGGGUCCUGGACUAUGGUCUCUGGCAGACAGACAAGGGUAAUUACUUCCAUCUUCCACUACAGAAGCAAUGUCCAGCAAGGAGCAAAUACCCUGUACAUCCACCCACUCGCACUACAAGAGUUUGUUCUUCACAUUCAUCUUUAUGAUUCUAAAUUCUCAUUCAACCUUUUGUGUCCAGUCUCCUUAGUGGCUUCUCACUCAUUAUAGUCCUCAAGUUCCCAAAGCAUUUCAUACUUGUCUCAUAUUAGCCCUGGAGCAUGUGAAAUGCAAUCAAAGUCUACUUUAAAUUAAACUUGACUGAGCUACCUCCAGAUUAUCACAUCAUUAGUAAGCUCUUCUGACAGGUUGCGAUUACAUAAUGUCUUGGGUUUUUAAUGUGAGAAUGGCCUCUUCUGAAGAACAGAAAAAAAAAAAAAAAAAAAAAAAGAUUCUGGGUACAAAAAUGGGGAUCUACUGCCCCCUUCUGGAUGGGUUCUGUUCAAGCUUAUUUAUAUUUUAGGGUAUCCUGGGCAAGCUCAGGCACUUUUACAAAAGAUAUGAGCAAACAGAAUACAAACAAUUUGCUAAGACACUAAAUCUAAAUCCUAAUUGCUGAACCACAUUCUCAGUAGCCUAAACCAAUGUCAAAUCACUCUUUCUGCAAAACCUUAAACAAGUUCAGGCAGUUUAGACACUGUGCAGAUCUCAUGACCUCUUUUUGCAAAACUCUAAACACAUUCUCACUCA